rnacentral:rRNA from 1 species
GUAUGUACCUUAUGAAUAAGCAUCGGCUAACUCCGUGCCAGCAGCCGCGGUAAUACGGAGGAUGCGAGCGUUAUCCGGAUUUAUUGGGUUUAAAGGGAGCGCAGACGGGUCGUUAAGUCAGCUGUGAAAGUUUGGGGCUCAACCUUAAAAUUGCAGUUGAUACUGGCGUCCUUGAGUGCGGUUGAGGUGUGCGGAAUUCGUGGUGUAGCGGUGAAAUGCUUAGAUAUCACGAAGAACUCCGAUUGCGAAGGCAGCACACUAAUCCGUAACUGACGUUCAUGCUCGAAAGUGUGGGUAUCAAACAGGAUUAGAUACCCUGGUAGUCCACACGGUAAACGAUGGAUACUCGCUGUUGGCGAUAUACUGUCAGCGGCUUAGCGAAAGCGUUAAGUAUCCCACCUGGGGAGUACGCCGGCAACGGUGCAACUCAAAU